GGGAAUUAAAAAAAAAAAAGAAAAGAAAAUUAUCAUUAUUAUUAUCUCGUGGAUACAGAAUAGCAAACGGGCGGCACUAUCGAAUUAUUAUUAUCUCGUGGAUAGAGAAUUAAAAAUUUUCUAAUUUAUGUAACUAAUUGUAAUUGGUAUAAAUAAAUGUUUGUUUUGUUUUGUUGUUGUAAGCGAAGCGAGCGCUAAGCGAGUGCCAGGCGAGGCGAGUGCCAAAAUUAUCAUUAUUAUGGAAUUUAAAAAAAGAAGAAAAAGAAAAUUAUCAUUAUUAUUAUCUCGUGGAUACAGAAUUGGGGAGGAAAUUAAAAAAAAAAAAAAAAGAAGAAGAAAAUUAUCAUUAUUAUGGAAUUUUAAAAAAAAAAAAAGAAGAAAAUUAUCAUUAUUAUGGAAUAAAAAAAUUAAAAAAAAGAAGAAAAUUAUCAUUAUUAUUAUCUCGUGGAUACAGAAUUGGGGAGGGAAUUAAAAAAAAAGAAAAGAAGAAAAUUAUCAUUAUUAUGGAAUAAAAAAAAAAGAAAAAAAAAAGAAGAAAAUUAUCAUUAUUGAUUAUCUCGUGGAUACAGAAUUGGGGAGGGAAUUAAAAAAAAAAAAAUAAAUAAAAAAAAUUAUCAUUAUUAUUAUCUCGUGGAUACAGAAUUGCAAACGGGCAGUCCGUAACGGGCGGCACUAUCGAAUUAUUGUUAUUAUUAUCUCGUGGAUAGAGAAUUAAAAAAAAAAGAAAAUUAUCAUUAUUAUUAUCUCGUGGAUACAGAAUUGCAACGGGCAGUCCGUAACGGGUGGCACUAUCGAAUUAUUAUUAUCUCGUGGAUAGAGAAUUAGAAACGUAAAUUAUCGGGGAGCCAAAGUCGACGCAACGAUGUAAGCUAUUAAAAACCGGACAGAAUAAUAUUACAUGUUGGGACGAAUGACAGCUAAGCGAGGCGAGUGCCAAGCGAGGCGAUUGCUAAGCGAGGCGAGUACUAAGCGAGGCGAGUGCCAAGCGAGGCGAGUGCCAAGCGAGGCGAGUGCCAAGCGAGCCAUAAAAUAAAAGAAAUAGAACAAAUACUGUUGAGCUCGGCAUUGAACGCGGACGAGGCGUUGUCUGGUAUGCAUAAGUCCAUACGACCAACAACGAAGGCAUAUGGCACAUAUCGAAAAAAGGCAAUGACCAAAUUACGUGAUCUGCCAUGUGGCUCCAGAAAAAAAUAACAAAGAUAAAUUGGAAACAGUUAGAAAAUGAAAAAAAGAAUGAGUACGACGAUGUCGAGUGGUCAUGGAACAAUUUCCCGAUCAUGGUUUGGAGAAUGAAAUAAUACCACCAGGUUCAUCCGGCCAUACUCCGGCGGUGGAGGAACUAUGGUAUACUGAUAAUCCCAAAAAAAACCCAGUAAAAAACGAUUGCAUGGAACAAUUUUGAAAAAGUAAAAGCUGAAAAUACGGAAGAAGAAUGAAAAUCAACAUGAACAUAGGACGAACAACGGACAUACGAGCGGUAUCAAUAUUAGAGAGAUGCGGUGCAAUGACAACGAAAUCUGUCCCGUCUGUGGGCCAGAUUUUACACAAAGGCAAAGAGCAAGUUUACCGCUGCCUGAACUUUAGGUAAGUCGUCUGUAAUAAGUUCUUUAAUAAUUAUAACUUGCAAGAGCUCCGACAUUUCAAUUGAAGAAUUGUUGGUAAAGGGGAUUUCGGAUCACAUUUCACAUGUAAAAAAUAGC